UUUUAUCGCAACAGGAACUUUGAACCCAAACAGAACAUGGACUUUUAACUGAAUGUUGUCGUCCCGUAAAAGAAGAUAAGCCGUUGUAAUUGUGGACAGGAUCAGUGUACGUUAACGGUGAUGAGAUGACGACUGUCUCAGUCACAGUUACAAACAUCAAGCAUAGCGACCUUGACCUCAAGCUCCGUAGGAUCGCGCGGCCAUCUUAUUUAACACAGCACGACACAUCCCACAAUAAAUGCUAAUAGGUCCAAAACACUGGUGCUGUUUUGGGGUUGGCUAGGUGCAAAACCACGUGCCCUUGAUUGUUACUUUGAUUUAUACCACCAGGAGGGCUUGGAUGUUUUGUACAUUCCCGAUCAGGUAAAACUGUUCGUAUGGCCUCCCUCCGUGGACUUAUUCGCUCAAUCUUUGAUGAACUUCCUUAUAAAUGAUAAAGAAAUUAAACUGUACAAUAAUUUCCUCGUUCACGGGAUCUCCAUCGGCUGUUACGUGUUCACCUGUUGCUUAAUGAAAGCAUUCAACCACCGGCAAGAGUUAUCUCCCUUUGUUGACAAAGUCAAUGGCGUCAUUAUGGACAGCCCAACAUACGGGUCCUUUGAAAGAAUGAGAAAAGGAGUUGCGGAAGGACUCGCCAAAAGUCCUAUUAUUAAAGCAGUUAUUCCAAGACUUCUGUCGGUGUAUUUUUAUUUCACGCGGAAGUAUACAGUUGAAUUCUUUGAAAAGAGCAUGCACUUCUUAGAAGAGCGACCAUUGGAUGUGCCUUACGCCUUUUUCUUUUCUCAAAAUGACCCCAUGUGUGAUGCAGACGUCAUCUCGGAUAUGAUUAAAAAUUGGCGUGAACAAAUGUCUGUUGCUGUGAUGACAAGGUUUUGGAGAAAAUCUAGCCAUGCUGGACACUUACGUCAUCAUCCUGACGAUUACAGAGAGACAUUUAAUCAAUUUAUUUCGAUGUAUUUUAACAGACUCGACCAAAGUGCAGUACCAAAAUCAAAGCUGUGAUUAAAACUUAUUCCGUGGAUCACAAUGUAAAAGACAAUGAUGACAUGGCAGAACUGUAGUAUUACACGAACGGUUUAAACUUAUCCCGUGGAUCACAAUGUAAAAGACAAUGAUGACAUGGCAAAACUGUAGUAUUACACGAACGAUUGAACAAGCGUUUUAAUUGAAAUGUGAUUUUUAAAAAGAAAUAAUUUAUAUAUUUUUUACAGUCCUAGAAAGACGAAAUGGCUGCUUGGUGCUGUUUACAUUCGUUAGUGUGCGGAAUUGACUGUAUCUACUUCUAAAUUCACAUCUACGCUAAUUUCUGCUGUGUAUAUCAUGGAUAUAACUUUUGUGAUCAAUAGAAUUUUACCAUUGUGUCAUUGCGAUAAGAAAUUCGUUAAACUCGUGAAAUUAAUAUCCGCCUAAAUGUCUGGGAUUCAUUGAAGAACAUUUUUGACAAAUAAUCAUUACGAAACUAUGUAUAUAUACAUGUUGUAAUGUGGUAUUUCAUAAAAUAGUGUGCUUGAAAUAUUACACUGUAGUGUGCGAAUGAGAAAGUAUAUAUAAAUGUAAGAUGGCAUGAUGCUGAUAUGAUGUGAACACAUGGUUAAGAUAAUUAAAGUUUGAGAAAAAUGCAUGCUAUACCAUAUAAUAUGACCAAAUUAUGUAAAGUUGUGGAACAAAAUUGUGAAUGAGUCCCCUCCUGUGUGAGGGCAAGCAGUGUUAGCUAUCAAUAUGCUGAUUGUGAAUAAAAAUAUAUAAAAAAAA